UUACAUUGGAGAAAGAAGUGUUGGUGUGUGUGUGCUGAUGGUGUAGUGGUCAGAGCACACAGCAUGAGAUGUGAAGUUCUCGCAGCAUACCUGGGUUCAAAUCCAAGCCCUGUUACUGCUCUUUACUGCUGAUGCAAUUACAAAAUACAAAAGUGUUUUUCCUCAUUUGUGCUCCCGCACUGAUUACUUUCCUUUCAGUAGUUCCUUUGGUGUGAUCCAUACUGCGAAGUGGGUUUCAGAGCCAAACCUCUACCUUGUCCUCAUUGAAUGUGUGUUCAGCCACAGUGUGGGAUUCAAACCUCCACUCAUCUGUAUGGCAGUCAAACACUCAUACACUGAACCACAGGGCUUGACUUCUGGCAGUAGUUGUUUGUGAGCCAAAUUACAAAGAAACUAAUCUCAAAUCACGGUUACAGUUAAGAAAUAGAUAAAGCCCCAUUCAAACAUCUGCUUCACAAUCCAGAUACAGUGGCUCAGGUCAUAAAGUGUUGAGCUUUAAUCAAGGAGACCCGGGUUCGAACCUUGCUAUGGCUAAUGUCCAGCUUGAGUUCAUUAUAUUCACCAUCAGUGUCCUGCCCUGAUGAUGGAAGCUGAUGGUGAAUAUAAUGAGCUCAAGUUGGAUGAUGGACGCUGAUGUGAAACUCAUGAUGAAUCAGUUAAUAAACACAAGUUCUCUGAGGAGAGACUCAUAAAGUCAAAGGUUCAAAUCUGACUUGUAUCUUGUUCUAGCAGGAUUCGAUCCUUCACGCUUCUGUACGAAAGUUGGAAGCUCAUCCUCUGAACCACAGAGCUUGACAUUUGGCAUCAGUUGUUUUGUGAGCCAAAUUACGAAGAAACAAAUGUCAAACCUUGGUCAUAACGACAUUAGUGAUAAAACCCCAUUCAGAUAUCUCCUCUAACAUCUAGACUCGGUGGCUCAGGUCAUAAAGUGUUGAGCUUUAAUCAAGGAGACCCGGGUUCAAACCUCCCCAUGGCUAAUGUCCAUCUUGAGCUCAUUAUGUUCACCAAGAGCUCCUGAUGAUGGACGCUGAUGUGAAACUCAUGAUGGGUGAGUCAAUAAACACAAGUUCUCUGAGGAAGAGACUCCUAAAGACAAGGGUUCAGAUCUGACUUGUAUCUUGUUUUAUUGAAACAGCUCACACACAGGUCUGCAGUCAAACACCAGUACCAGCAGGUGUUCAGUCAGGAGAUCUGUGGCUCUGUGGUAAGAGCGCUGCCCCACGGCUUCAGGGGUUGCUGGUUCAAUGCCAGCCAGAACUCUGCGAUAUGAGUGAAUGGAUCUACCAAGCCAGGUCAGAGGUCAUGGAGAGCUCUUGAGUGGAACUGGAUUCCUGCUGGAUUGGAAACAACUGUUUCCUGAGUUAUUUGUCAUUUUAUGUGUUGAUUCUGUUUAAAGUCAUUUCCUUUGUGUGCAGGACAGACUUUCUGUGUAGCAGCAGCUGCCAGUCUGGAUGUAGACUACACCAGUAUUAACCAGUUUCAGAUAAGACGGCUGAGAGUACGAGAAACAGCCUUGAGGAUGAAACAGGUCGUUCUCUGUAGAGCUGCUCGAUAUUGGAAAUAUGUCACAUUGUGAUAUUUAGAUUUCUGUGAUUUAUAUUGUGAUAUGAGAACAAUUUCACCAGAUGACUUGAACGGCUCUAUGUGUACAGAAUUGAUCAUUUUAGAUUGAUUAGGAUGAUUCUGUAGAAGAGAGCAUCUGAAUAAAUAUAAUAAACAAUCUACAAGCUUAGAUAAAUGCAGUGAAGAGGAAGAUAGAGAUGAAAUAAACAAUGUUUUACUGUUUCCUGAAGAGUCUAACAGUACUCAGGUACAGCAACUGAAUAAUCAAAUGUAAAAUAACACUGCAUAGUCAAGAGCAGUGUUUCCCAACCCUGUUCCUGGAGGCACACCAACAGUACAUAUUUUGGAUGUCUCCCUUUUCUGACCCAUUAACUUCAGGUGUUGGAGUCUCUUCUGAUGUUCUGAUAAGUUGAUUCAGGUCUGUUUGAUUAGGGAGAGGUUGAAAAUGUGUACUGUUGGUGUGCCUUCAGGAACAGGGUUGGGAAACACUGGUCUAGAUAACUGUUAAAUGAACCGUUAUUAAAGUUACGAAUGGAAGAAUUUCUUAGGCCUGAACUGAAAAUCUUCACACAGCCACAGGCCUCAAAAACACAUGCAACUGCUGAACUAUAAUCCAGACUCCACACUGCAGAUGCUGCGAUGUGACUAUAGCAAAUGAUCACAUUGAGAUAUCCAUGCUAAAACGAUAUAUUGUGCUGCCCUCGUUCUUUGUGUGUGCGUUAUAUGAUCACUUUUACAGGUCUGAGGUCAGCUCUGUCUGACUGUCUGACCUGCGGCUCCUGUCUCAGAUGCAGAUACAAACCCACAUCUGCAGACCUGUUUGGAAACUGUCUGUCUUUGCUUUAACUAAUCAGGAUCUUUAUACCUUUGUUGACGCCAUUUGUGGCCCUCUGUCAGAGUAUAAUUGCUGUGUGUUUGUUAUUGUAAGGCAGCGAGAUCGGCCAGCCAACUCUAUGUGAGUGUCACAGAACGGCAAACUGUCUUCAGUAAACUCUCUUAAUCUUAUUGAAUCUCCGGCAAACAAACAAAUAGACUAUGAAUGUAACAUAAAAGAAUUCCCAAAAGCUGAUGAUUACAGACUUGACAUCAAAUAUUGAUAAAUGAAGUGUAAAACAUGAAUAUUGUACUGUAAAGCGUGUGACUUUCUCACCAUGAUGUUCUUCACUCCAGAUUGUCAAUUAGCCUGUGUGUAAUUAAUGCGCCUCUCAUCAAUAAACAUACAUUUAAUUUAUUAGACGAGCUUUUAUAUUGGGGAUGCAGAAUAUAUUCAUUGCUCACAGAUUUAAUUGACGCAGACACAAAUAAUAAUUUUACCAACAGAAAUAUGAACUCGUUUCCUUUCAUAAAUGUUUUAUUAAGAUUACUGGCUGCUUUUUUAAAUCUUGUGAACUCUGCAAGAGGCAGAUUGGAUCAGUCUUUUUCCAAUAGUAUCUGGAUGCAGACCUAGAUUUUUAAGCUGAAACUGCAUAUAUCAGACACAAUGCAUCCAGUUGAGCUAGUGACGUUACUGUGAUGGGUGGGGUUAGGUGUGCUCAUUAAAGCGCAGUUUCGAUCCGCUCCACUAGGCGGCAUCAGCGAGCUGCUCUUUUAGCCUGAACACCUUUGACAACAGCGACACAAAUCAACACAGGUACACCGUUUUACUGGCGUCAAGUUGAGCUCCAGCAGAUGACAGCUCAGUGCCAGACUCAUAAUGUCAGUCAACAGCACAUAUUACAGCCCGACAGUGAAGAAAAGCUACACAAAGUGCAGAAAUGGAGAGUAACGCGACUCACCUGUAAGUGACUUUGUUUUGUUGGUUUAGUUUGUAGAGAUGUUGUUGUAGUGUUUGUGUUCAGUCAUUGCUCUCUCUCUCUCUCCUCUGCAGCAGUGAAGAUACACACGUGUGUCUGUUGUGUUUCUGCUGCAGAUCUUUGACCAGCGCUCAACAGCUGAUGCUCCUCCACACACUCCUCCACAUCCAGGCGGAUUCACAGCUCCAGUAAAGAAAUCCCACAACAGCUCGACAGUGAAGAAAAGCUACACCAAAUGCAGAAAUGGAGAGUAACGCGACUCACCUCAGUGAAGAUACACUCUUUUAGCCUGAACACCUUUGACAACAGUGACACCAGAUCAACACAGGUACACAGUGUUACUGACGUCAAGUUGAGCUCCAGCAGAUGACAGCUCAGUGAUAGACUCAUAAUGUCAGUCAACAGCAGAUAUUACAGCCCGACAGUGAAGAAAAGCCACACCAAGUGCAGAAAUGGAGAGUAACGCGACUCACCUCAGUGAAGAUACACACGUUUGUCUGUUGUGUUUCUGCUGCAGAUAUUUGACCAGCGCUCAACAGCUGAUGCUCCUCCACACACUCCUCCACAUCCAGGCAGAUUCACAGCUCCAGUAAAGGAUUUACCAAGCCAGGUCAGAGGUGUGUAGCAGCAGCUGCCAGUCUGGAUGUAGACUACACCAGUCUUAACCAGUUUCAGAUAAGACGGCUGAGAGUACGAGAAACAGCCUUGAGGAUGAAACAGGUCGUUCUCUGUAGAGCUGCUCGAUAUUGGAAAUAUGUCACAUUGUGAUAUUUAGAUUUCUGUGAUUUAUAUUGUGAUAUGAGAACAAUUUCACCAGAUGACUUGAACGGCUCUAUGUGUACAGAAUUGAUCAUUUUAGAUUGAUUAGGAUGAUUCUGUAAAGGAGAGCAUCUGAAUAAAUAUAAUAAACAAUCUACAAGUUUAGAUAAAUGCAGUGAAGAGGAAGAUAGAGAUGAAAUAAACAAUGUUUUACUGUUUCCUGAAGAGUCUAACAGUACUCAGGUACAGCAACUGAAUAAUCAAAUGUAAAAUAACACUGCAUAGUCUAGAUCAGUGUUUCCCAACCCUGUUCCUGGAGGCACACCAACAGUACAUAUUUUGGAUGUCUCGCUUUUCUGACCCAUUAACUUCAGGUGUUGGAGUCUCUUCUGAUGUUAUGAUCAGUUGAUUCAGGUCUGUUUGAUUAGGGAGAGGUUGAAAAUGUGUACUGUUGGUGUGCCUUCAGGAACAGGGUUGGGAAACACUGGUCUAGAUAACUGUUAAAUGAACCGUUAUUAAAGUUACGAAUGGAAGAAUUUCUUAGGCCUGAACUGAAAAUCUUCACACAGCCACAGGCCUCAAAAACACAUGCAACUGCUGAACUAUAAUCCAGACUCCACACUGCAGAUGCUGCGAUGUGACUAUAGCAAAUGAUCACAUUGAGAUAUCCAUGCUAAAACGACAUAUUGUGCAGCCCUCGUUCUUUGUGUGUGCGUUAUAUAGAUCGCUUUUACAGGUCUGAGGUCAGCGGGCUGUCUGACCUGCGGCUCCUGUCUCAGAUGCAGAUACAAACCCACUUCUGAAGACCUGUUUGGAAACUGUCUGUCUUUGCUUUAACCGAUCAGGAUCUUUAUACCUUUGUUGAUGCCAUUUGUGGCCCUCUGUCAGAGUAUAAUUGCUGUGUGUUUGGUUAUUGUAAGGCAGCGAGAUCGGCCAGCCAACUCUAUGUGAGUGUCACAGAACGGCAAACUGUCUUCAGUAAACUCUCUUAAUCUUAAUAAAUCUCCGGCAAACAAACAAAUAGACUAUGAAUGUAACAUAAAAGAAUUCCCAAAAGCUGAUGAUUACAGACUUGACAUCAAAUAUUGAUAAAUGAAGUGUAAAACAUGAAUAUUGUACUGUAAAGCGUGUGACUUUCUCACCAUGAUGUUCUUCACUCCAGAUUGUCAUUUAGCCUGUGUGUAAUUAAUGCGCCUCCCAGCAAUAAACAUACAUUUAAUUUA